UCCGGGCUGGGGUAGUGGUAUCCUGUAUCCCUGUGGCGGAUACGACGUGGGUUCAAUUCCCGCGCCCGGAC
rfam:Halorientalis sp. IM1011, complete genome.